CCGGUUAACGCUCGUUGAUUCACUGACGCGGUUCACGCGCCCAACUCAUCAUAGCAGAGUAUGUCCAUGCGUAAUGUUUGGAGUAAAUAACGUCCAGCGUUUGACCAGGGCCGACUUCGUCAUACGAAGAGCCCGACACAACGUUAAACUGAACGUUAGGACUAGCCAGGAUGUGUCUAGCACAUUUGAGGUUGGGUCAACGGACAACCCAGUGAAGGAAAAGACUGUGCACGCUAAAGCCUAAGACAGAUAUUAAUGAGGGAGAGAUGACUGUGGACGGGUAUUCCUCUUUUCCUCUGAACAACCUAAUCCUUGCUACGUGAUCUUGAGAAUCCUGUAGGAUUAACUGGAUAAAUGCCUGAGGCCUUGGACCCCACACGAAAUGCCUCUUAAACACAAACCGAAAGCACGAAACUACAGAUGUACAAAAAGCUCAACAAAAAUUCAACAGAUUGGAUGCUGCGUUCAAGAGGAUCAACACAAAAUUUCUUAGGCUGCCUAUUAGGUUCCUAAAAUUACACCCUAAUCGACACGCUUCGUCAAGGAAAAUGGAAAUGGGGGUUUGAGAUCGAUUUCAGAGCACCAAGAGUAACCCAAUAUUUGACAUGAGUGAAAAGGCUCAUCUGUCUAGUGGUUAACAAGUGUAUCAAGAAUAAAGACAAGCAUAUUGACCGUGAAGCAUGGCCGUGUGACACGACGAGGUCACGUCGUACAUGCAUUCUGAAGAUAAUUAAGAAAAAUGUUGCAUUGGGCUAUUUUUCACAUCCCUUUAUACAGGUUCUGUAGAAAUAUGCCUGAAAGCGAAUGGUGAAUUUUAAAAAUUGCUAUAAAAUUAAUUUUCACUCGAAAAUAUGUCAUUAACCAGUUAAGUACUUGUGGUAUGUGUUCCUGGGUGUAUAUAUGUAUAUAUAUAAUCCUCUGGUUCAGCUAUACGUAAUAGACUGUAGACUUAAUCCUGUAUCCGACUUAGUCUGUCGCAAUUCGUUAAUGUGAAAUGAAAGAUAAUAAUGAAGAUUAA